ensembl:lncRNA
GUGGAUGGGCUGCAGGGCAGAAGUGGCGGGGGGCAAGAGCAGCCGAGGCAGAGAAGGCCUUCACUUGCUUGGCCAGCAGCUGUUGUUGGAUGUGCUGCGGCGCGGCCUGCUGGAGCUUGCUGGACUUCUCCAUCUCCUCAGGCUUGAAGGUGAUGGGCUGGCUCUCCAGGGGGGCCAGCAAGGCGACCUCCGUCCCCUCCUGGACUCCAUGCGGGUCUUGGACAAUCUCCCAAGGGGAGGGCCGAGGCCCGAGGCCCGCAGGCUCCCUUACCUGAGGAGCUGGAACACUGGACUGUACGCUUUCCUCCUGGUCAGCUCUGUGGGUAGUGUGAGGCCCACGACUGCACAGGCACCUGCCCCAGAAAGUGGGUGUCGCCAUUGGCAGAGAGGGCGGGGCCUGCAGGCAGUGGGCCUGUCAGUUGGAGUCGGGCCUGUCAGUUGGAGUCGGGCCUGUCAGUUGGAGUCUGGCCUUGAUCGGCCCAAGGUCCAGUUACCAGACAUGGAUGGGGGGUUAGUCACUGUGGAGGAGUGCAGGGCUGAGGCACUGGGACAGAGGGGAGCUGAACUGAACUGGGUUUUAGGAGUGGAAGGGCUGCAUCUGCAGAGGGGCCCUGGGCUGGAGGUGUGGCGAAGUUCCACCUGGCCCGGCUAGGCCCCGCCCCUUCCGCCAAAUUGCCCCCCCCCCCGCGCCACAUCUGCACACAUGCGCAAGCAGUCACGUAGUGUACGCUUCCCACCCCGUGCGUGCCUCAGUCCAUGUUCCAGCUGUGACGAAGAGCAUCAGGUUGCAGCCCUGCCUUUGUCCUCGGUGGUUUGGGGCCCGAGGACUCACCCACUGCCCUCACCACUCCAGACCACCACCUUCUGGGAUGCCAGACACUUAGCACCAGAGGCUCCUACCUGGGACAUCCGGCUGCCACACUCCGUGACACGAGGCUGCUGCCUAGGACUCCGCACGUCCACCCAGGAUGCCCAGCUGACCAUGCCCAAGGCCUUCCUGCAGCUUGACCGGCAGAACUAACGGGGCCCAGCAGGUAAGGAGGUCUACAGAAGUGAGGAGAAGCAUCACCAUCGACUGGGGGAAAGGGGAGGGCCGGCUGGGCAGAGGUUACCCAAUGCACCAGAAAACCAGGGUCGGAUAUAUAUAGUGUCAUUGUUGAAAUUGUGGAUGUUGAGGUUUGUGUUACUGUUUGGCAUCCGGUUCGGAACGGUUAGGUGAUUGAUAGUGUUGUGUCAAGAAAGCCAUUGGCUUUUCAAAGAGAUACUGCAGUCCUCAGACCAUUUUCCCUUUCACCACUUACCCUGCCUGGGAGAAAUAGUCACUGUCUAUUUAAAUGCAGUUUUUGGUAUCUUCAACUCAUUCUGGGACCGUUUCUUUGCCGUUUGUUUGUUUGUUUUUUGUACCGGGGAUGGAACUGCUGGGGACAUUGUGCUUGGGAGGCAGGCGGUGGCACCACUGAGCUAAAUCCCUGGCCCCUGGGACUGUUUCCUCUUGGCACAUCCUUGGCAGAUACAGAGGACACACAUUUUUUGCUUGAUUAUCCAUUUUCAGUUCUUUGGCUUAUCUACCUAGGCAUUACUAGUAAGUGAAACGUCUUUCCUUCUUGUUGAGAAAGUACCACACUGUUUCCUACACGGGCCGCCACAGGUGUUAGCUUGCACGCUUCUGAUGAAAGGUGCUCUAGUCGGAAUGUUGGGGAACCUCACCCGUGCAUAGAGCUUGUUUCCUUCCUGAUUGUGAUGUGUGAAGCGCCUGUUUCUGUGUUCAUGUGCGAGGGUGGAGGGAGUCCUGUGACAUUCCUAGAGGAAUCAGGUCAUUUUCUCAGUUGUCCGGUUUCAGUUCCCACAUUCGGUGAGGCGACUGUCAGCAGAACCACAGUUCUUCCCAGGAGAGGGUUCAUAACAUCAGGCUUUGUGAUCUCCUUCCCUUGGCUGUGCAGCAACAGUCUGAUCCCUGUGUGCUCACAGCACUCUUUGCCCUUUCCCACGCUGCAUCAACUCCCUUUUCAUGACCAGCUACUGUAGGUCAACAAAUCCUACCUUUUUUUUUCCAGUUGUCUGUUCAGAGCUUUGCCUCCACCAGUGAAGCAUCCCCGUAUUCUUUGUGGAAGGUGGGCUGAACAGCAGUCUGUGGCCACCACUUUGGCCUUGCUCCCACCUGCCGCAGUUUCCCAAAAACCUCCCCAUGGAUUCUGUGAGCCAGGUCACUGAGGUGGGUGUGCAUGGGUCUCUGUGCCCCAGUGCCGCCGCCUGCACUCCCACCCUCAUGCCUGUGGGAUCCCUGUCCUCUGCAUGGCUCCUGCUUCUUCCUGGAUGUGCUCCUUCCAGUUACGCUCUCCCGUUCCCCCCCCCUCCACCCCCGGGCCCUUCUGCUCUGGGUCUCUUCAGCCCAACACUUCAGUUCGCACCGGCCUCCUGCAUUCAUGCUCUUCCACACUCACCCCCCUUUGGUACACAGGGCAGCCACGGGUUUUUCAGAUCCCAGUCCUCCCCUAUGCCCUGCUUGUCCCUUUCUGUCACAGCCUCAGUCAUCUCCUGAGCCCCGAGCACGAGCUCUGUGCACAAUGCAUGUAUGUUUUCCAAAUUCCACCCACCGACUGCAUCUGCCUGCAUGUUUGCUCCCCAGUUCCACACUGGGAAGUCAGUUCCUCUGGGCAGGGCCAUCUCUAUUCUGACCCUGAUGGCGUUCACGUUGGAAGGGGAGUAGCAAAGCUGACAAACCCAGACAGACAGACAGAGGGAGGAAGAGUGUCAUGUAGCAGGUAUUAGAAGGUAACAUUCCAGGACUGGAUCUUAAGACCUGGAAGUCACUGAAAAAAGACAGAGUCUUCACAGACACACAGGGCAGCCAGACUCUUGAUUGGGGCUUCAACGGAAGGGAUCUAGAAUUGACUAUGAAAAGGGGGGACUGGGUGCUCACAGAACUAAGAGAAUAGUAAGCUUUUAUGGAUUUGCUGGGUGGGGGGGUCAAGUCCAGCAAUUUCCAAUGCAGGAGUACAGUUCCAGAAAAUGUUUCUUGUGUUACAGGUGGUGCGUGGGGUGGUCACGAACAACUCGUCCGUGAGGUGGUUGAACUUAGGGUUAUGAUCC